UACGUAGGUGGCAAGCGUUGUCCGGAUUUACUGGCGUAAAGAGCGCGCAGGCGGUCGUUCAAGUCGCGUGUGAAAGCCCCGGCUCAACUGGGGAGGGUCACGCGAUACUGCUCGACUCGAAGGCAGGAGAGGGAAGUGGAAUUCCUGGUGUAGCGGUGAAUGACGCAGAGUAUCAGGAGGAACACCGGUGGCGAAGGCGGGUCUCUGGGCCGAUACUGACGCUGAGGAGCGAAAGCGUGGGGAGCGAACAGG
rnacentral:rRNA from 1 species